GAGGAAUAUUGCGCAAUGGACGAAAGUCUGACGCAGCCAUGCCGCGUGCAGGAUGACGGCGCUAUGCGUUGUAAACUGCUUUUAUUUACAAAGAAACCUCGGGACGUGUCCCGAGCUGACGGUAGUAUUUGAAUAAGCACCGGCUAACUCCGUGCCAGCAGCCGCGGUAAUACGGAGGGUGCAAGCGUUAUCCGGAUUUAUUGGGUUUAAAGGGUCCGUAGGCGGAUGAUUAAGUCAGUGGUGAAAGCCCACAGCUCAACUGUGGAACUGCCAUUGAUACUGAUCAUCUUGAGUACAUUUGAAGUUGGCGGAAUAGGUCAUGUAGCGGUGAAAUGCUUAGAUAUGACCUAGAACACCGAUUGCGAAGGCAGCCAACUAAGCUGUAACUGACGCUGAGGGACGAAAGCGUGGGGAGCGAACAGG
rnacentral:rRNA from 1 species